CCCUUAGAUGUUCUGGGCCGCACGCGCGCUACACUGAUGCACUCAACGAGCCUAUCCUUGACCGACAGGUCCGGGUAAUCUUUGAAUCUGCAUCGUGACGGGGAUAGAUUAUUGCAAUUAUUAAUCUUCAACGAGGAAUGCCUAGUAGGCGCAAGUCAUCAGCUUGCGUCGAUUACGUCCCUGCCCUUUGUACACACCGCCCGUCGCUCCUACCGAUUGGGUGUGCUGGUGAAAUGUUCGGAUCGGCCGUUUGUCGCGGUUUCCGCGGCUCGUGGCUGAGAAGUUCAUUAAACCCUCCCACCUAGAGGAAGGAGAAGUCGUAACA
rnacentral:rRNA from 1 species